GUCUUUUCAUGAGGUUGUAAACCCAGACAGGAAAAGAGUGAAUCUGCAGGGAGGUGACUUAUUUUUAGAGGUUUUCCUUCGAUGGUGGAUUGCUCAAGCUUCCUUGGAUAACAUACAAACAACCAGUUUCCUCCUCUGUGGAAUAAGAUAAUGUUACUAGUCACCAUACAUGUCCUGAGAAGCAUUUGAUCAUAACAAAAUGAAGAGCAGAUCUUACCUUGGUGUGCAGUGAAAGAGAGACCUGGCCUCAACAAGUAUUUUUCAAGUGUACCUGAGUAACAGAACAUUCAGCCACAGAAGGCCAAAAUUAUGCAGAUACGUGUGCACAACCCUUGGGACUUCCAGACUUUUAAGAAACCUUGCAGAAUAUUCCAUCUUAUCUGAAGGAUGUCUGUUGUUGUCAGUCCUGAGCAAAAAACCCCCAAUUUGAAAGCGGUAGCCCAUAAAGAUUCCAAAAUUAGAACAAGUCACAUUUCCUCAUGGGACUUCUGGUGCCAGGAGAUACUGAGCUUUUGCAGCCCCUAGUCUGAAGGUGCCUGCGCCGGUGGAUGACCUGCGCUGUCACACAUGCUAGCUGUCCCUAAAUUUGACAAUGGCAAACUUUAAAAAGCUAAUGCAUGUCCUGCCUCUACCAUCCCACCUCCCCACCAAAUUGCCAUGUAUACAUUUGAAUCUUGCAAAAUAUUGAUGAAUCUUAUUUGUUUAAGAUUUGCUUAAUCCAUAA